AAUCAACGCUGGCGGCGUGCCUCAGACAUGCAAGUCGAACGCGAAAGUUCCCUUCGGGGAGCGAGUAGAGUGGCGCACGGGUGAGUAACACGUGGGUAAUUUACCUUCGGGUGGGGAGUAACAGUCGGAAACGACUGCUAAUACCGCAUGAUGCAGCGGCACCACAUGGUGACAGUUGUUAAAGCGGGGGAUCGCAAGACCUCGCGCCUGAAGAGAAGCCCGCGGCAGAUUAGCUAGUUGGUAAGGUAAUGGCUUACCAAGGCAACGAUCCGUAGCCGGCCUGAGAGGGCGGUCGGCCACACUGACACUGAAUAACGGGUCAGACUCCUACGGGAGGCAGCAGUCGGGAAUUUUGGGCAA
rnacentral:rRNA from 1 species